AGUAUCCAAUUCUCUCUUGCGAAGCUGAAGGAGCUCAUCAACAUCACCAAAAAUUUCAUGUGCCUCCUGCAAAGCAGUUGAUGAAACACCAGGUGCUUGCCUGGACUUUUUUUUCUUCAACUUCCUCCUCCUUAAGGGAGCCCCAUUUUCGUCAUCUUCAUCUACAAUGAAAUCAGCCAUUUCAUCCUCAUCUCCAAUGUCGGCAUCUUCUUCCUCUUCAGGUUGUUCCUCCUCUUCCGCAAUAUCCUCAAGUGGAGCUUCAUCAUCACCAAACAAGCUACGUUUAAGUUUUUCCUCAGCAGUUCGUCCGCCUCUGCUGUUUUCUACAAAAU
rnacentral:misc_RNA from 1 species